GGUUUCAUAGUGUAGUGGAUAUCAUGUGUGCUUUACAUGCAGAAGCUCCUGGGUUUGAUCCCCAGCGAAGCCA
rnacentral:tRNA from 1 species